ACUCAUCUUUUUCUGCUGCAAUUUGUCUUUUGAUGCCUCGGUUUUCUCCCUCCCAGGGCAGAAUUAGCAGUGCAGCACAAGGUUCCAUUCAAGGAAGAACAAAGCCUGGCCCAAGGUCCCUCCCACUGAGGACCAUGUCGAGGGCCACCCUGCAGGGCCAGUUCCCUUUCAGGCACCAGCCUUUGUGGGGCGGGGGGCUUUUUCUGAAAGUAGCCCUGGAAUCACACCUGCCCCACCUCUGGCCUUGGCAUGCGGUACAUAGGCUGAGUGUCAAAGGUCACCCUGAGGUCACCAGGCAGCCUAGAGGACCAGGGGGAGGUAGGGCAGGCUUUCAGCCCACCUGCUUGCCAGUCUGACUUCUGCCCUGUGCACUGUCACCCUUGCCCCGCACCCAGUCUUGCUGCCUUAAAGAAAGAAACCUCCUUUGCAUGACAGGAAGCAGGGAAGUUCCCUGAAGUGUACUGCAAACCUAAAAACACCGCAAACCCGUCUUUCAUCACCACCUGGAUGACUGAAGAGAAACAGAAAACAGCUCUUAACCCCUGAGAGGUUGGGCUCGCACUGAGAGAACAUGCUGUGGCCUCCCGCUCGCUGGGCAGAUGAGGAAACCCAAGCCCGAAGUAGGAACCAAAAGAAUUGGACUCUUUCUGGGAUAUCUGGAGCCUGCCUGAAGAAAAGUGAAGAGGCUAUUUAAGCAGUUUUUUAAGGAAUUUAUCUGGGAAACGAGGAAGGCUACUGACCAGCAAAUCCAAGCUGUUUAUAUGGGUCUGGAUGUUGUGUGCAUCUUCAGCAGGAACUCCCCUGAAGUGCUUAAGUUUUGAACUUCCUGUCUCCCUUAUGACCAUUGCAAAUGGAACCAUCCACUUGACACACUUCUCUAUAUCACACCACUGAUACCCUGCAACGAAAAUAAAUUUUAGACUCAAUUGGUUUGGAAGUUUAGUACACCUUGUGAAUGGACCGGAAAGCCAACGUACCUGAAACCUUUUGCAUCAAUUCAGAGGAAGAGAAAUGAUACAAGGCAGAAGCAGCAAGUACACCAUAGGGAAAUUCUAAGCAGCCAACAUCCAGGACACAAAGAUCUAAAAGCUAUGGAGAAGAAAAAGAACACUGAGGCAGAUGGCCAACAUACAUCCCUUCUAGAGUUAAUCUAAUGACGGGGUAGGCAGCCCCACAGAGGUAACAGAGCCACUUACCUCUGCAAUCUGUAUGAAGAUUUGCUGAGGAUACUGUGGCAGGAGCACUUCAUAUAAAUCAUUUAGAUAUGCAACCUGCAUAUAUACAUUCAGCCAGGACACAAUGGUCAGGGGACUUAAAUGCCACUUAAGGGCCUAAGGGAAAACAGACAAAAGAGACCAAUGGUUGAGAAAAGAAAAAGGUAUUUCUGCUCCCCUUGGGCCUCUAAAGGAGUUCAAAAUGAAGCCAUGUUCCACGCCACAAUGUGUCCAGCUGGAGAACACCUAGGCAGAUGCACUCACACGAAUGUGGAAAAGCUAUUAUGUAUGCAUUUUUUAAAAAGGACUGAAAAAUUAACUUGUAACAUACCUUCAUAAUGAUUAAUUCCAUGCUAAGAAUUUCCUCUCCUGAACAAGCCCCAUCUGUAACAUACGCAAACUGGUGCAGCUUUGGAGGAUAGAUUUCCUAAAAGGAAAUAUAAGGGAGAAACAACUAGUAAAAAUCUCUAAUAGUUUUAACUUAUAAUGUACAUCCAAAUAUUGUUUUUAGUAUUCUACCAGGAAAAGAGAGAGGGAGCACCAUGGAAUACAUAUAGGGGCUACUCUGCUGGUCAAAAUGUGUUCACUGUGAAAGAAACAACUCCCCCCGCCCCAAUAAAGAAAUGCAUAAACACAA